rnacentral:misc_RNA from 1 species
GAUGAAGAACGUAGCGAAAUGCGAUAAGUAGUGUGAAUUGCAGAAUUCAGUGAAUCAUCGAAUCUUUGAACGCACAUUGCGCCCCUUGGUAUUCCAUGGGGCAUGCUUGUUCGAGCGUCAUUUGUACUCUCAAGCUCUGCUUGGUGUUGGGUGUUUGUCCUUUCCCUGCGUUAGGACUCGCCUCAAAUUCAUUGGCAGCCGAUAUAUUGGUUUGAAGCGCAGCACAAUUUGCGAUUCGGGCUGGUUAUUGUUGGCGUCCAGUAAGCACAUUUAACACUUUUGACCUCCGAUCAAGUAGGGAUACCCGCUGAACUUAAGCAUAUCAAUAAGCGGAGGA